rnacentral:lncRNA from 1 species
GCUUGAUGCUUGGCCAUGUCUCCGUUUCCACCUACAACUGUAGGGUACGUGAGGGCGAUCGAUCGAUCUCCUUUUCUUCGAUCGCCGGAGCUUCAGACUCGAUGGAACGGUCAAGCCGCUUGAUCGACUGCUAAGGCAGGAGCAGCAGCAUUAUUCUUUUUCCGAUUAGUAAAGCUCGGCCACUGAGGCCAGGUGCUGGUGGGAUUGGGCUUGGACAUGUCUCGUUUUGCAUAGGAUGUUUGUAUUCUUCUCAUUGUUGCGUUUUUCUGAAUUUUUGCUCUGUCCAUUCAUGUGUUCCCACUGAAUCUGUAUAUUCCUCUGAACUCAGUGAUAUAUCAAGUGUGAAAUUUAUUCUUACUAGUUCCUGGCCUUCAUGUUUGCCAUUUAUAUGCAUGGUGUCUGCAGGAAAGGAUCUGAUGUUUGUGUUGGGCCGUCAAAAGAGAUUGGAGCUAUAGAAUUGGCCCUUAGGAAUUGUUCAGGCAGAUCAACAAAUACAUAUUUUUUUGGACGACCAUAUCUACCCGAUUUGACUCGCUUGAGGAGGCAUACGAGUUCUAUAACCUGUACUCAUGGGAAUUGCUUUCGGGCAUUUUUGGUACAUGACCAGUUAAAUGAACGUCGAUCAGUACUGGUCAUCUCAGGAUCUAGGGUGCCAGAUGGAG